CCAGACUCCUACGGGAGGCAGCAGUGGGGGAUAUUGCACAAUGGGGGAAACCCUGAUGCAGCGACGCCGCGUGAGUGAAGAAGUAUUUCGGUAUGUAAGGCUCUAUCAGCAGGGAAGAAGAUGACAGUACCUGAGUAAGAAGCCCCGGCUAACUACGUGCCAGCAGCCGCGGUAAUACGUAGGGGGCAAGCGUUAUCCGGAUUUACUGGGUGUAAAGGGAGCGUAGACGGCAGUGCAAGUCCGGAGUGAAAGCCCGGGGCUCAACCCUGGGACUGCUCUGGAAACUGUAAAGCUGGAGUGCGGGAGGGGCAGGCGGAAUUCCUGGUGUAGCGGUGAAAUGCGUAGAUAUCAGGAGGAACACCGGCGGCGAAGGCGGCUUACUGGACCAUAACUGACGUUGAGGCUCGAAAGCGUGGGGAGCAAACAGGAUUAGAUACCCCCGUACA
rnacentral:rRNA from 1 species